rnacentral:snoRNA from 1 species
CCUAUGAGCGAUCCAGAGAUGGUUGACUACAUCCUCACUGGUCUUGAUCGGGACUAUGAUCCCGUCGUUGCAGCAGUCGGCGCCAUCAAGAACUCCAUCACCGUUGAUGAACUCUUCGCGCAAAUCUCGGCCUUUGAUC